GACGAACGCUGGCGGCGUGCUUAACACAUGCAAGUCGAACGGAAAGGCCCUGCUUUUGUGGGGUGCUCGAGUGGCGCACGGGUGAGUAACACGUGUGUAACCUGCCCUUGACUUUGGGAUAACUUCAGGAAACUGGGGCUAAUACCGGAUAGGAGAUCCUGCUGCACGGUGGGGGUUGGAGAGUUACGGCGGUUGGGGAUGGACUCGCGGCUUAUCCGCUUGUUGGUGGGGUAGUGGCUUACCACGGCUGUGACGGGUAGCCGGCCUGAGAGGUUGGCCGGCCACAUUGCGCCUGCGGGACGGCGCAGAAUCCUACGUGAGGCAGCAGUGGGGAGCAUGACGCAAUGGGCGGAAGUCUGUUGCAGCGACGCCGCGUUCGUGAUGCCGUGCUUCGGGUUGUAAACCGCUUUCGCCUGUGACGAAGCGGUAGUGACGGUAAUGGGUAAAGAAGCACCGGCUAACUACGUG
rnacentral:rRNA from 1 species